rnacentral:piRNA from 1 species
GUCGAUGAGCACAUGGCAAACACA